GACGAACGCUGGCGGCGUGCCUAACACAUGCAAGUCGAACGAGCGGGAGAGAGCUUGCUUUCUCGAGCGAGUGGCGAACGGGUGAGUAACGCGUGAGGAACCUGCCUCAAAGAGGGGGACAACAGUUGGAAACGACUGCUAAUACCGCAUAAGCCCACGACCCGGCAUCGGGUUGAGGGAAAAGGAGCAAUCCGCCUUUAGAUGAGCUCGCGUCUGAUUAGCUAGUUGGCGGGGUAACGGCCCACCAAGGCGACGAUCAGUAGCCGGACUGAGAGGUUGAACGGCCACAUUGGGACUGAGACACGGCCCAG
rnacentral:rRNA from 1 species